CCCCGCUCUCAACAGAUCGCGCCCACAUCCUCGAUCUCCCCAACCUGGCCUCCCCCCGGCGACCCUCCGGUGGAGCAGGGCGCCUCCCCUGCCGCCCUGCGCCGCCCGCCCCCGUGCCUUCCUGCGCCGCCGACUCUCGUCCCACCCUGCGCCGCCGGCUCCCGCGACUCCCUGCGUCGCCGACUCGAUCUAGUCCCGCCCUUCGCCGCCAGCUCCCGUACCGCUGGUGUACCUCAACAAGGUGACAGAAGGGUGCGUCGGCCGCGUCGCCGCCAAGCUCGAGUCCAUGAAGCCCUGCUCCAGCGUCAAGGAUAGGAUUGGCUACAGCAUGAUCACUGACGCAGAGAAGGGCAUGAUCACUCCAGGCACGGAAUGCCGUCGGAGACAGCCCAAUCCUCCCGAGCUUUGCCGAGUUCUUGGCAACUCCCGAGCUUGAACGACCUCCUCCUCUGCAGCACAGACCUCCACAGGAACGCCAUCGGAGACAGCUCAAUCCUCAUCCCCAAAGUUGGAUUGGUGUCCGCCGGCUGAUCUGUGCAAUCUGUUCUGAGAUUGCCUCCGCCGUGCCUGCAGGAGUUCCUGGUGAUUUGGUGAAUCGCCCUCUCAUCUAAACCAGUGGAGUGAUGACGGGAUCAGUCCUGCUGCCAUCCUGUUGAGCCCAUUCGAGUGUAUAGCCAGAGGCGACGAGCAGGACAACAAUAUGACGUGAAUCCCCCCAUCCUCUGCUAGCUCCGGCCCAAACACAGAGCAUCCUUCGUACAGACCAUUUGGGUCCCUGGAUCUGAACUUGUAGUAUGUUUAAAAUGGUGCAUGAUCAUUUGCAUUUCUGCUUAAUCGAUAUCUAACUAAUUAUCUGUUGUUCUGAACUAUUGAUAUCUGCCUGCAACUCCACGAUCACAUUAGAACACAUUGGUCUGAACAAAACAAGCUUGACUUUUGUUUGCAUCAUGGAAGACAUCCAUCUAAGCUGUUAGAUAAUGGUGAAGGAAGUGUAGAAAAAUCUUGUUCGUGUGAUUUUUCAUGUCUUUUUGAGACAUCCAUUUGUACUCUGUAAUGUGAUCCUUCCUAACCCUUGUGAUUGCGUGAUGAUGGGAUUCCAAAGAAAUCAUAUGCGAUCCUGAUGCAGGCGAAGGCUGCUA